rnacentral:rRNA from 1 species
AACGAACGCUGGCGGCAUGCCUAACACAUGCAAGUCGAACGAGAUCUUCGGGUCUAGUGGCGCACGGGUGCGUAACGCGUGGGAAUCUGCCCUUUGGUUCGGAAUAACAGUUGGAAACGACUGCUAAUACCGGAUGAUGACGAAAGUCCAAAGAUUUAUCGGCAGAGGAUGAGCCCGCGUAGGAUUAGCUAGUUGGUGUGGUAAAGGCGCACCCAGGCGACGAUCCUUAGCUGGUCUGGGAGGAUGAUCAGCCACACUGGGACUGAGACACGGCCCAGACUCCUACGGGAGGCAGCAGUGGGGAAUAUUGGACAAUGGGCGAAAGCCUGAUCCAGCAAUGCCGCGUGAGUGAUGAAGGCCUUAGGGUUGUAAAGCUCUUUUACCCGGGAUGAUAAUGACAGUACCGGGAGAAUAAGCUCCGGCUAACUCCGUGCCAGCCGCCGCGGUAA